AUUCCAGCUCCAAGAGCGUAUAUUAAAGUUGUUGCAGUUAAAAAGCUCGUAGUUGGAUUUCUGGUAUAACGCGCCUGGCCCGCUUUUGUGAGUGCCGGUGCGCGUUUGCCAUCCUUCUAGAAAACGUUUCUACCUGGGCAACUGGGCCGGAUUCGCGAUCUAGAUCUUUUACUUUGAAAAAAUUAGAGUGUUUAAAGCAGGCUUUUGCUGUGAAUACAUUAGCAUGGAAUAAUAAUCUAGGACUUCGGUUCUAUUUUGUUGGUUUCUAGUACUGAAGUAAUGAUUGAUAGGGAUAGUUGGGGGUGCUAGUAUUGGCCGGCCAGAGGUGAAAUUCUUGGAUUCGGUCAAGACUAACUUAUGCGAAAGCAUUCACCAAGGAUGUCUUCAUCA
rnacentral:rRNA from 1 species